UAAAAUUAUAUUGGAACUACAAAUUAAAAUAGAUGAAAUUGAAAUAUAUUAUUUUAAUUAAUUUUUAAUAAUAAUUAAUUUCCUCUUCUAGCAGCUGUCAGUCAUAUAUACCAAACCCUUUAAACCGUACACCAUCCUCUUCUCUU